rnacentral:rRNA from 1 species
AUUGAACGCUGGCGGCAUGCCUUACACAUGCAAGUCGAACGGCAGCACGGGGGCAACCCUGGUGGCGAGUGGCGAACGGGUGAGUAAUGCAUCGGAACGUGCCCAGUAGUGGGGGAUAACUAGUCGAAAGAUUAGCUAAUACCGCAUACGACCUAUGGGUGAAAGCGGGGGACCUUUACCGGCCUCGCGCUAUCGGAGCGGCCGAUGUCUGAUUAGCUAGUUGGCGGGGAAAAGCCCACCAAGGCGACGAUCAGUAGCUGGUCUGAGAGGACGACCAGCCACACUGGGACUGAGACACGGCCCAGACUCCUACGGGAGGCAGCAGUGGGGAAUUUUGGACAAUGGGCGCAAGCCUGAUCCAGCCAUGCCGCGUGCGGGAAGAAGG